ACCAAAAUCUAAAUUUUCUUAUCUUUUCUCAUUCUACUUCUCCGUGGAUACCUCUUCGCUCUCUUCCUCUUCAAAUUCUUCUUCUUCUUCAUAAUCUACUGAUUAAAUCCGCCGUGAUGACCAUAUCUCCGACUUCUCCUCCUCCCUCAAUCCCACCACCUGUUAUCGCUUGCGCCUAUCUCACCUCUCCAGCUUCCCCCAACCUCGAUCUCUUUCCUCAAAUACAAAUAUAUCAGAUCUACCCUAUCAUUAGAUAAUUGGGAUGGAUAAGAAGUCCUCCGUUGUAUCAAGGCAGUGGUAGAGAUUCUGGUAAUGGUGGAUGGGAUAACGAUGAUUCGUUCAGAUCUUCAUCUACAUAUAUGAGGCAUGGUCGUGGUGCUCCGGCGAAGUCGGAAUCGUCGGAGGAUAUAAAUUCUCGGUCUCAUAUGAGUCUUCAUGUAAAUUUAAAAUAUGGGGAUUAUGAAGCAUUGGAGGAAAAAAUAAAGCUAUAUAGGAAGAAAGUCUUUGUUUUUGGAUGUACAUAACGUAAGCUAUUUCUCUAAUCUUUUUUUUUUGUUUUGAUUAUUGGCAGUCACUUUCUUCGUAUCGUUGGACUUAAUACAACUGUAAAGCUAUAUUUUUAACAUUAAUUAAGUGGAGACUUAGCCAAGAGCUUUGCCGGUCAGAACUACUGAAACCAAUGGAGAAAGAGUCAGAUUUCUUACCGGCGCGUUGUCUCAGAGUUAGUGGUGUUGUUACAGUCACUGGAGUAUGCCACAAGGAUAAAGAAGUUGCUCAGGUAAAAAACUAUGCUUCUCUGUUUAUUUCUUUCAUGUUCCGAAUUGCUUUGAUUCCGAAGGUGACCAAAAUUCACAGAGGAAAAGACCUCAAGCCAUAGCACAUGUCUUCUAAUUUUGAGUAUGGAGGUACUUAAAGCACACAAGUUCAGGCAUCUGCUCAUAAUCAUGUUACAUAACCUAAUGCCUAUUUUGAUAGUUUCUUUUACUUUUUUUACUUGUUGAUUCAUAUUAACAAUUAAUGAGAUGGAAUAAUAUUUCUGGAUUGUUGAAUUAGGCUUGGAAAAUUAGGCCAGAGAUUAAGUAAGAUGUUGCGGGCCUUGCGGCUAUGUCUGGGCUCAGGUGAGGGAAAUUCUGGUCUCGUUUUAAUGGGAUUUAAUUGACAAACGACAAACGUACAUGAGUAAAAGGAGAAACCAAUAGAAGAUAGGCUUGUUGCAGGUGUUAUAAAAGUUGUUAAGGUUCUCUGAUGGCUCUUUCACCACGAGCUUCAUCACAAGGUUUUGAAUCUCUUUAACCAUCAUUGAUUUUAAGACAAGGACUAUAGAGGGAUUAUGCACGGGAAUGCUAACGGCAAGGCAAAACACAUAGAGAAAACAAGAUGGAAGUCUGUUUUUAUGAUGUUA